CUUGUGGCAGGAAUGGAGGAAAAAUACAAGGGAAGCCCAAGAGCUUUGCUCUUCAGUUCCCCCAGAGAACUGGGAACCAGCCCUAUGUGAUCUGGGAGCCUCUACCAGCACCAGGCCAAGCCCCACUUGGAGUCAGCAGACUAGCCAAACUGGCAACAUGAGGCAGCUGGAGUGCUACACCUGAAGUCAAGGGACCUGGGUUUGGAACUGGAACUUAUACCAACUACUACCUAGAGAGCCUGGGCAGUUGUCAGCCGGUGAAGCCAGCUUCUCCUCCUCCUUACUACCCAGGAGAAUGUAAAGAUAAGCUCGGACUACAUGAUGGACUACAUGAGUUACUCUUCCUUCCUUCCCUAAACAUGCUGAACACCAUCUCUGUUCAUCAACAGCACCCUGCAAAAUAAGAAUGGUCUUAAUGGACUGGUAGACUGUAAAAUAUUGGUAUCUGCAACUUAUAGAAGAAAAGGUUUAUUUGGCUUACGGUUCCAGAGGACUAAGUCAACUGUGGCGGGGAAGUAUGGCGGCAGCGGCAGUGGCAGCAGCAGUGGUGGCAGCAGCAGGCAUGGUGGCUGGAGCAAAAGCUGAGGUCUCACAUCUUGAACUGCAAGGCUGGAGCAGAGGACUGGAAACAGCACGAGGCUUUGACAUCUCAAAGCCCACCCCCAGUGACAUGCUUUCUCCUCAACGAGGCACCUCUUUUUAAACCUCCCCAAACAGCCACCAACUGGGAUCAAGAAUCCAAACAUCUGAGACUAUGGGGCACAGUGUCAUUCCAGCUGUAACAGUUCUUGACUAAAGAAAGUAAGAAAGCCUCAUUAAAGGAGCAUUCACACAAACAGUGACAUCUGUGGGCAUCCUGGUCUCGCAGAGAGAAUGCUGGAGAGUUGACGGGGCUGUAUGGUCUAUCUCAUGGCCGUGAGUGGUGCUCCGGGAAGAUUUACCGGGUCCUUAGGACUGAGCUUCAUCAUCUUCAGGAACCGGCACUGUGCUGCCUUCUAGAACAACGUAGUAAGCAUGGCUACUUACUUCCAGUGAAUGCUAUCCAUCGAGCAUAUUUUGUAGCUUCUCUUCGCCAGUGGGAAGCCACCAGCAAGCCACAUGUGACAGUCAAGGAAAUGAUCCCCAUGAUGAUAAAGAACAGGGUGGUGACCCACUCUGGGGGAAGCCGAGGGGGGAUGCAGGUCCGGUCUCGUCCAUGGAUUGUCUGACACUGCCGCACAAGGCCCACAGUAAGUGCUCCUGGGAAGAUGCAAAGGUGGGGAAUACUUCAGUAUGCUUGGCUGCCCGAGAAUAUGCCCCAGCAAACCCCUUUCAUAUUUAAACCUUGUUGGUAUCUGUGUGGGCAAUCCAAGUGUUUAAUCAAGGAGUUCUCUCCAGCAGCCUGUUGCUGUUUAUAAUGUGACAGGGCUUGGGUUAGUGCAGAGAAUAUAAGCAACACGGACAGGCUCAGGAACCAUAAAGACAGUUAUGCAUAUCUUUCUGUCAUGAUAAUCUUCCUACAAGGACUAGAGGCUGUGGCACAGGUUAACUGCACACACUCAGGAGCUGGCCUCCUGAACAGUUUCUGAGUACUUGUGUCAGGCAUUGAUCUGGUUCCAGGGAACAAAGCAAAGCUGCUGGCAGGGACCCCUGCCUUCCUAAGCCUGCACAGUGGCAGCAAGAACUGGACUUCUCUGCUGCUAGACUCAAGACUCACUGUGUGGUUCUUUAUUUUGGCUGAGAAAGUAUAUUUUAGGAAAUUAAACACAAACUUUGAAAUAUACCUAAUGAUAAUAUAUAAAAUUACAUAAUACAUUAAACACUAAAUUGGAAGUUAUCAAAACUAAAAGGUUUGACUAUUUUUAUUACUAUACAAGAUUUAACACUAUCACAGGUUAACAGGAAAACAAGUUAUGAAGCAAUCUGUAAACAUCCUUGACAUUAAUUUUCAAAAACUUUAUUAGUAGUACUAUUAAUUUGUAUGAUGGUGGAAAAGAGUUGUGUGUGUGUGUGUGUGUGUGUGUGUGUGUAUGUGAGUGUGUGUGUGUGUGUAUGUGAGUGUGUGUGCGUGUGAGAGACAUGUAGGCCAAAGGACGGCUUUGUGGAGUGAGCUCUCUUCUUCAGUAUUGAUCUGGGUUCCAGGGAUCACAGUCAUGUGGUCCAGCCUGUGUGAAGGAGGUUGUAGCUCCAUUGUGAUAAGUGACUUUACUUCUAUGAAGCACCAGGCAUCAUCUUGAUCAAACUUGGAGUGAAUUAUUGUAGAGAAACCCAGAUCAGGAACACAAAAGACUAUGUUCUCUUUUCCACACAAAGAGUUAAAAUUUACUUCCAAAUAAAAGCUGUCCCCUCUACUGAGGGGACUGUGAAUAGGGAGCAGCUACCAAAAUACCAGAGUAAACCUGAGGAGUCCCUGGAGCAGCUGACUCCUGCCUCUUUCUGGGGAAGGGUCAUCUUUCUUGGCUGGCCUUUUAUUUUCACUCCUGACAGGCUCCAACCCUGGUUCUUAGCCACGCCCCCUCAGACUCAGCACUUGGUGAGACGGGACCUUCUUGUGCUCAGACAGUAGAUCGGGGCUGGCUCUGUCUGCACAGAUCAGGGUAGGUGCACUUGGGAAGGAAGUGCUCUGCACAAUGGCAUCUCUCUACCAAUCCAGUUCUGGGAAUAAAACUUGAGUGACAACAGGAAAGAGGAGUGUGGCUGGGGAGAGUGUUCUGUUGUUAAAGAGCACAUACUGUUCUUGCAGAGCACACACUGUAGGGUGGCUCACAGCUGCCUGUGACUCUGGCUUCAGGGUCUGAAGCCCUCUUCUGCCCUCGGCAGAACAGCACUCCUACAAAGACAUACACAUACGUGCAUACGCACACACACAAAUUGAAAAACACUGUUAAAGAAAGUGAGGCAGGUCUUGGGCAGGGGCUCAGUGAGAAAAGUGAUUGGUGAGCAAGCAUGGGGUUUGGUUCCCUAGCACCCUAGAGUAUACUCUGAAACAUACUGGCAAGUACAUGCUCCUUCUCCAUACCAUACGCAAAAUGACAAACAGAAGAAAACCAAAGCACGCCAAAAGGUUAAGGAGGAAAAGUGGUGAGGAGGCUUCUGUAAACCCGAGCUAUGGCCACCCCUCUCUCCAAUAAUGUCCUAUCUGGCCAGAACUCUGAGACGAUAAACUGUAGUUUUUCUUUUGAAUCAAAUCAUUAGGUACAUAUGAUGAAUCCUCUAAAGUGCAAGCAACACAGGCACAAUGUGGAGACUGUCACAGGCAGCAUACAGGACAAAGGGAACAAACCUUUGCAGCACUGCCACCCACUCUGUCCCCAGCUGCUGCUUGGAAUCUAGAGACUAGGAGUAGGCACCAGGGUUAACGGGACUUCUUGAGCAGUAACUUCCUCUGAAUGAUAACUCAGGUGGGCAGAACCUUACUAUGGUAAAGCGUCCUAUUGUAAUUCUGGAAAUAGAGAAGGCAUUCACAGCAGUGCCCGUGAACUCCUAACAGGAAACCACUCCUGAUCAUUCAGCAAAAGACUUUUAACAAACUACCUUUGUGUAGUUGUGGAGCAUAGAAAAGCUGCAAAUGUCAUGAUGAAAGACACUUGCACAAAAUGCUCCACUGCGGAUCUCUGCUAUGGAGGCAUCUGUCUUUACAAGUCAACACACAAAAGAUGCUUGACUGGCAACUCUCCACACCUACUGAGUCGAGAUGUGCACCGAGGAUUAUUUUGUGCUCCCAAAUAAUACAAUCUUAUCCCGGCACAUUAGAUUGAGAGCUCUCUCCUUCAGAAUAGUUCUGAGUACUCCCAUGCUCCCUUCUCUAACUCUCUGAUUAAGAACAGGAUAAAGAUGAGGAUGCCCACUGUUCCCACUAAUUGUCAGGCUUUCUGAGUAACAUUUCUCUUUGUUGCCGCUCCUGUUUAGCAAAACCACAGCUAGUAAAUAUGAACAGAACAAACAAUAAAAUGAAAAUGUUAGCUAUAAGCAAACUGGAGAAAACCUGAUGGAUGUUUAGCUGUAGAGGGGUUCUGUCCUGGAUUGAUAAAAUUCCUUAUCACAGCAAAGCAAGACUGAAUCCUCAGCACCUCUGAAGGGAGGCAGAUGGGCAAAACAAGCAAACGUUUAUAAUAAUGUCGCUCAUUCUGCCCUGUAGCUGCUCUGUAAGAAAGGCCAGCUAAUUUUAAUUGGCAAUUAAAGGGUACUGCAUAAAAAAUAUCCAAAUAUUUCUCUGUGUGCUGAGUUUGUGGUCAGCAGUGUGUGAGCAAUGCACGAGGCUCCAGGUUCAACCUCUAACAUCCCACUGAAAACUACUGCAUGGCUAUCAAAUGCUUAGUGUUGGAGCAGUGAGAUUCCCAAAACAGUACUCGUGUGCUUCCAGUGAAAACAGAUUUUCCUCAAAUAGAGAACGGUUAGUGUUGACCAUGGUUAGUUAAUGUUAUUCUUUGCCCUCUGGAGUAAGACUGUAAUCUGAUAACAUUAAUGAUGUAGUCACACACAUUCUAUAGGCUGAGAGGGUCUGUAGUCAAUUGCUUCGAAACUCAGAUUUUGUUAAUGCCCACACUUUGAGUAGGCCUUUCUUUAAAUUGCAUCUUUAUUUCAAUGAAUUAUCUCUGGCCCAUCUUUUACUUCCACUACAUUCUUUCACACACUUUGUCUGCAUCACACAGCCACACUGCUGAUGUUAAAAAGUAGCUCUGAGAAUAGUGGUGGUGCUGGGUACUGAACUCAGAGAUCCUUUAACUUCAGAAGUGGGGAUUACAAAAUAACAGAACACACCUGGGCAUGGGAGCACACGCCUGUAGUUUUAGCACUUGGGAGGCAGAGGCAGGUGGAUCUCUGAGGCCAGCCUAUUGUACAAAGCAAGUUCCAGGAGAGCCAGGGCUAUCUUGAAAAAACCAAGAUCCCAAACUAAAAACCCCACAAACAAACAACAGACUGCCAUCUUCUCAGAGAAGAAACUUUGCACUUUACUGGAAAAUCCUCAAAUGGCCUGUAACAGUGGGUAUACAGUAGGAAUUAAAUCAAUUAAAAAUAAGCUACAAUUAGAACUACACUGAAUUCCAGAGGUUCUAUUGAAAACUGUAUAGUUCAGUGUGGCUUCUUGAUAAGCAAAAGCCCAAGCAUUCACUAAUUGUUGUUUUACACGACAGGUUUUGCCUUUGAAGGGGCCCAUGACUGCAUUUCCCAAGCAGCCAAUCUAUCUUUACCCUGCAGUUGUUGCCUAGGUAACCAAUCCAUCCAAAUAAAAGAUUCAUACACAAUAGAAAAAAGGAAACCAAACUAGAGGCUGCAGCCUCCCACAAGCCUCAAGGGAUCCCACCUGUAUACCCUCCAUCAGAAGAGUCAAACAUGCCCACUCUGCCGAGUGUGGUUUCCUAACUAGAAUUGCCUUCUGAAGCUCAUCACCUAUAGAUCCAGACACUCCGAGGUGGUGCAGCAUAGCCAGUCUGAGCACGUCUGCUGCCACAGUGGAUGAUGAUUAGCAUGUCAUCACUGUGGUAAAGGCACUGCCACAGAAAGUCUGUAACAGGGCUGUGAAGCAGCAUGUACGCCCACCAGAGCCUGUCACAGGCAAGUCUUGUGAUGUGCCCACCAAUCUAGACCCAAUCUCUGCAAUGCAUGUGGAUUUCUGGCUUUCUUUUCUACAAGGAAGUGUGUUCUUAGCAAACUGUUUAUUGGUGACACACACUGAACAACAAGUGCUUUACCACAAAUGUCUUCCUGACUGAUAAAGGUUUGGUCUCUGCCCUUUCAAUAGCAUCGGUGUUUAAACAAGUGACACCACUCCAAUUUAACUGAAAUGAUGGAGACUCUUAUCUACAGGAAAUGCGGCUGAGGAAACUUAACAGAAUACAGGGAAGGUUUGGGCAGAGGAGACUGAGAAGAAGGGGGCUCCAAGGCAGGUGCGGGUGCACAGUGUGCUCUCCUGUUACUGGUGCCUCCAGUCUCCGAUGCUUGAACUUUCUUCCCAGCCGUCACUAUCCUACUUCCUGUCCGGUGUCUUCCCCACCCAUCCUGUCUUGACAGCUCACAUGCUGAAUGAAUGAGUGGAGGCAGGGAAGUUUAACGCUUGCUAACAAAGGUGAGCACGUUCAGAUAGUCUGCUGCCCACUUCAUUAAAACUGUCCCGGGGUUGGGGAUUUAGCUCAGUGGUAGUGCGCUUGCCUAGGAAGCGCAAGGCCCUGGGUUCGGUCUCCAGCUCCGAAAAGAAAAAAAAAAAAAAAAAAAAAAACAAAAAAAAAACAAAAAAAAAAACCUGUCCCUUUGGCCUAUUUGGUCAGUUUGCUUUUUACAGUCUUCUGUGUCCAGGGCAAACAGAGUAGCAGAUGAAGAUGAGCACUAGCUACGGUUCUGGAAGAAAUGUCUUGAUGGUCCCAGGAACCAGAAGGUGAAGGGUGUCAGAGUACGAAGAGCUGAAGCCUUUUCUUUAUGAGAGCACUGUCUGUACAAGGUUGCCUAAGGAAAUAGUUCCUCCAGUUCAGCUGCUUAGGCACCCGGAAACCACCGCAGCUAUAAACCAAGACCCAAACUACUCCUGCUGGUUUCACAGGCAUGAAAAACUGCCAAUUAAAGGUUCACCAAUCCUGGGAGGACAGUCGAUGUGGAGCACAUGAGACCAUGGGAAACUUGUGGGAGGGCACUUGAAACAGUGACAGUGAAGCCAAAGAUGACACAGACACCACAGGAAGUUGGAGAAGAGAGGAACAUGGAAUGUCUGCUAAGGAAAGCCAUGGGAAAUGAGCCCAACAGAGAGGCCAUGUGGCUGUGACCAGUGUCCAGAGGGCUGGGGCUGCCAAGUCCCUGGGACUCACCACAGCCAAAGCUAUGGUUUAAUAUGUGUCCUACUGCGUUUCAGUCAUCUCUAAUCUUUUCUAUACCCCAGUGGCCCUGUCUGUAACAGGAACGAAUGCUUACUCUGUGCCACUUUAUCUUGGAAAUGUAGGGUUUUCUUUGUGAUUGUACAUGGGCUCACAGCUAAAUGUUUUCUUGAGUAGAAGAAACUUCAAAAUUGAACAUAAAACUUUUUUCUGUUUUUGUGCAUGCAUAUUUGUGUGUGAGGUUGGGGACAACUCUGUGGAGCUGUACCUGCUGCCAUUUUGUGUGACCUGUAGAUUAAACUCAGGUUAUCAGGCAUCUCAUUGGCUGAGGUGCUGGGAAGCUGGAGGACAGAAUGAACAUGAUCUCCACUGCACACAAGGAAGUCACAGCAUGUCAAGGGGAACGAGGAUCUUACUGUGUGUACUUGAGAGAUGAGGUGUAAUUUCAGGUGUUUUGGAGUCAAGUUGAUAAAGGCUGGCUUGGGAUGGUUAACCAUGAUUAUCACUUGGUCACACUGAGAACAACCUAGCAGGCUACUAAAGCACACCUCUGGGUCCAUGUGAGGGCAGCUGUUGGGACAACUAGAUCAAACUGAACAUAAAAACUUAAUCAAUGGUUUAAUCUGAAAGACUCUCAAGAGGUGAAAAACUGGGUUGGAGGGAGUGGGUUCCUGGAUAUGCCUCUGAAGAGCAGAACUGAAUACGAGCCUCUUCCUGCUUCCCUUCUCUACCUUGAGUCGUGAGUUGAGCAGCCUUAUUCUACCACAUGCUCUUCUUGCUAUUCUGUGUCAGCACAGGCCAGAGCAAUGGGGGAGGCCUACUGUGAAUGAAACAUCUUAAACUGUCAACCAAAAUAAACCUCUCCUAAUUUAAAAGUGAAAAAAAAAAAAGGGUACAGACACAUGCUAUGGCAUGAAUAAACAUUGAAAGCAGGAUGCUAAAUAAAAGGAAGGAGCCAAAAAAGGCCACAUAUAAUAUGAUACCACCUAUAUGACACUUCCACAACGGGCAACUCCAAAGAGGCAGGAAGCAGAUCUGUGGUUGCCAGCUGAGAGGGAGGGAUUGAGGAGUACUGAGAACUCUCCCUGCCCCCAGCAUUUUAAAAAAUAUUAUUUUUAUUUCAAUGUAUGUUUUGUCUGCAUGCCACAUAACCACAUGUGUGCCUGGUGACCAUGGAGGCUCCAUAAGGCAUGGAGCCCCUAGAGCUAGAGUUACAGAAGAUUGUGAGCCUCCAUAUGGGUACUGGGAGUUGAACUCAGGUCUUCAGGAAGAACAGCCAGUGCUCUUAUCCACUGAACCAUCUCUCCAGGCCCUGAAGUACACAUUUUGAAAAGAUGAUAAUUCACCUCACUUCCCAAUCUAGUUUGGAGUACUUUUAAAUGCAAAACUUCUUCUACAGCUUUUGCAUUAUUACUAUGACUAGGCAAAUCCCAUCUUUAUCUAUUAUAAAGCCACCAAGAGUUUCAUUGUCUUAUUUAAAAGAGAAAAGGUGGGGUUGUAGAGAUGGCUCAGUUGUAGAGGGCCAUAGUUUGGUUCUCAGCACUCACCAUCAAGUCCAGCUCAAGAGAACCUGAUGCUUCUGGCUUCCCAGGAGCCCCUGUAGCUUGGCUUUGAGUGGCCUGCUUUGAGAGAAGUCAGUUCUUAACAGCGGUGAGGAUCCUUGUAUCUGUGCUCCUGUACUUUCAAGAUUCUCUUUAUUUUUGUCUUUCAACUGGUUAGGAUGUGCUUAGGUGUGGAACAUCUCACAUCUGUCCUACUUUAUGUUUGUUGAAAUUAUUCAAUAUGCAGAAUUACUCAAUGAUUUCCCGGUGCUCUGGCAUCUCCUGUCUGUUCUGGAGCUCCCCGCUGUGUGGGUGUGGCAUGUGUGGUCUCUGAUGCUCUGUUCAUUUUCAUUCUCUUUGCUUCUGCCCCUCACACUGGAAAAUCACAAUCAAUAGACUUCACUGAUUCCUUCUGCUGAUUUUCCAUUUCAGCCACUGAACUUUUCUACUCCAGGCUUUCUAUUUUUAGAUCUUUCUCUGUAUCAGGUCAUUGUUUACUUUUGGGAUAUACUUAAAAUGUUUCAUUUAAAUCGUUAUCUCAGUAGUUCGUAACCUGUUGGCCAUGACCCUAUACUGCAUACCAUCUGCAUACCAUACCUUUAUAAUAUAUUCCUAAUAGCAGCAAAGUCACACUCAUGAAGUAGCAACAAUACAAUUUUAUGGUUGGGGGGGGUCACCAAAACAUAAGGAACUGCAUUAAUGGGUCGCAACAUUAGGAAGGUUGAAAACCACGGUCAGUGAGUCAGAGGCUGAGAUUGCUCAGGUGCUGCUGACUGCUUCUACUGUUUAGUUGUUAUAAGCCGUAAUUCCUGGUUUCCUUGAAUGUCUUAUAGAUUUGAGUUAAAAACUGGAAAUUUGAUCUGAGUUCGAGGCCAGCCUGGUCUACAGAGUGAGUUAAAGAACAGCCAGGGCUACACAGAGAAACCCUACCUGGGGAGUAGUGGGGAGGGCAGGAAGCGGAAAGUGGAGACUGCUUUCAGCCAGGUGGUAAUGGUGCGUGACUUUAACCCCAGUACUCAAGCAGGUGGAUCUCUGUGAAUUCAAGGCCAGCCUGGGAGUUCCAGGCGUUAGGACUACACAGGUUCCAGGAGAGCUCGGGCUACACAGAAAGAUCCUGUCUCAAAAACAACAAAAAGCCAACACAGAAGGAGAGGGAAGGUGAUUUUACACGGCACACUGUCCACCUUGUAUACCAGGAUGGGAAUCAGCUUCCUCCUUUUUCUGUGAUUUAUUCUUGUUCUUGUUUGGUUCACAACUCUGCUGGGAUAAUUACAUAAAGUCUCUACCUUCUGUUGUUUGUGGCCUUUGAAGUCUUUCUGACUUCAUCUGACAGACAUCUCAGCCUGUGCUGAAGGUUCUGUGGACAGAAGGUAAUUUACAACUCUGCCUAAACCUUUACUUCUUGCUUGAGCAGAAGUGGAAGGUCAGCUGGAAGUGAGAAAUGUGAGGUACCUUCUACACCUCUCUUCUCUGGCACCUGGACAGCAUAACCAUGGUGUGCCCUUCUAGAGUUCCUCAAAGACCCCUGGGGACAUGGUUUUCCUGUUUUCUUCUCACACUUGCCUAUCUGUUUCUCUUCUCUAUCUCUGUCAGCUUUAGCCACCAGUGUUUUAUAUAACUUGGAUGAUGACUGUAUUUAACAAAUGCCAUGUGGUCAAGUAAAGAUAAAUUGUAAACACGGAGAUAUCAGUGAGCCACCAGAGAAAUCAAAACAGUAGAGGGUCCCUGGAGGGUCUGUAAGUGUGAUAGGCCCUAAGCUCUCUCUGCUGAUUACCAAGGUAUUUUUCACAGCUACAGGGUUGUGAGGCUACUGGCUUUCCAAGCUGACAGGGAGAGAAGGGGGAGGUACUCAACUCUAACUGCCACACAGCUUGCUGUUCUUACUGAGCAAGCUCACUAAGUCCUUUCAGUGUGUUUCAAGACUUUAAUGUCCAGAAUUCUAAAGCUGACAUUUUAAUUUUAUUCACUGAUUUAGCAAUUGUUCCUUUGCUUUUACAGAGGAACAGCUUUUUGGAGGCCCUUACUGUAUUGUUCUGGAGUUAAACCCAGAUGGUCACCUAUGCGCUGCCAUCAAUUUGGGCAAAUUAUUUAAUCUUUUUCGAAGCUUGCUUUUGCAGCAAAGAAACACAACUUACCAUUCAGUUUAUGUGAGAAUUAAAAAAACAAGUAAUAUCCAUAAUGCAAAUGGAACUAUAAAUACUGAAAGCUUAUUGGGAAUUAGAUAAACUGUUGUUUGGGUUAACAUACAUUUCUACACAAACACACACCUGCACCACAAAUAUGGCAGUAGCAGACGUCCUAAUUUAACACAGUAGUUUACUUAGGAAACUAACAUUCCAAAGUAAAAAGAGGACAUAUGAUGUUUGCUAGUCAUUAAAAAGAACCCGGCUAUACUCCUCUGUUGAACCAUUCAGGUUGAAGAUUACACACGACUCAAGUUCAGACUUGCUGAAAUAAAAGCUCCAAGCAGAGCUUUCUAGAAACAAGGCUGGACGCUUGGGGUUGUUGGACAGCAUGCUUAAAAACAACACAAACAUCAACCUUUAAAUCUGAUUUCCUUUUUUCUACAGCGUGCUGUUUCCUUUAACUUUGUUUUAUAUUUUAAUUAGUUAACUAAUUAAUUAUAUGUAUAGCUUGUUUGCCACAGUAUAUGUGAGGUCAGAAUAUUGGGAGUUGGUUUUUGUCUGCCAUCUUGUGGGAUCCUAGGGUCAAACCCAGGUCAUCAGGCUGUGUGAAAUGCAUGGACCCCCGAAUCACCUUUCUAACUACCAUCUUUAAAUUUUUUAUAGUAUUUUUUUGAGACUGUAAUAUAAUUACAUCAUUUCCCCCUUUCCUUUCCUUCCUCCAAACCCUCCCAUAUACUCCUCUGUUUUUUUUCAAAUUCAUAGCCUUUUUUUCCAUUAACUGUUUUAUAUCUAUAUAUGUGUGUAUGUGAAUUUAUGUAUAUACACAUGUAUUUCUUUUUUUUUUUUCUUUUUUCUUUUUUUCGGAGCUGAGGACCGAA